UUUCUAUUUCUAUUUAUUUGACAACAGAUUUUUUCCCCUUUUUUUCUAAUUAAAAAAAGAAAUGAAAAAUAAAAUAAAAUAAAUCUAUACAAUUUUAGUAAUUUUUUUCUUAUCUUAACCACCUCCAUUUUUUCUGUGUAAACAGUGACAGACACUGCAAUUGCAAAAUUUUGCUCGAGCACAGCAGCACAGAUAUAUAAA
rnacentral:lncRNA from 1 species